UACGGAGGGUGCGAGCGUUGUCCGGAAUCAUUGGGCGUAAAGAGCUCGUAGGCGGUUGGGUAAGUCGGGUGUGAAAACUCCAGGCUCAACUUGGAGAUGCCACCCGAUACUGCUCUGACUUGAGUUCGGUAGGGGAGUGGGGAAUUCCUGGUGUAGCGGUGAAAUGCGCAGAUAUCAGGAGGAACACCGGUGGCGAAGGCGCCACUCUGGGCCGAAACUGACGCUGAGGAGCGAAAGCGUGGGUAGCAAACAGG
rnacentral:rRNA from 1 species